rnacentral:tRNA from 1 species
UCACUGAUAGUAUAGUGGUAAGUAUCCCCGCCUGUCACGCGGGAGACCCGGGUUCAAUUCCCGGUCAGUGAA